AUUGAACGCUGGCGGAAUGCUUUACACAUGCAAGUCGAACGGCAGCACGGGGCAACCUGGUGGCGAGUGGCGAACGGGUGAGUAAUACAUCGGAACGUGCCCAAUCGUGGGGGAUAACGUAGCGAAAGUUACGCUAAUACCGCAUACGAUCUACGGAUGAAAGCGGGGGAUCGCAAGACCUCGCGCGAAUGGAGCGGCCGAUGUCAGAUUAGGUAGUUGGGUGGGGUAAAGGCUCACCAAGCCGACGAUCUGUAGCUGGUCUGAGAGGACGACCAGCCACACUGGGACUGAGACACGGCCCAGACUCCUACGGGAGGCAGCAGUGGGGAAUUUUGGACAAUGGCGCAAGCCUGAUCCAGCCAUUCCGCGUGCAGGAUGAAGGCCUUCGGUU
rnacentral:rRNA from 1 species